rnacentral:rRNA from 1 species
GUACGGGGGGGCAAGCGUUGUUCGGAAUUACUGGGCGUAAAGGGCUCGUAGGCGGCCAACUAAGUCAGACGUGAAAUCCCUCGGCUUAACCGGGGAACUGCGUCUGAUACUGGAUGGCUUGAGUUGGGAGAGGGAUGCGGAAUUCCAGGUGUAGCGGUGAAAUGCGUAGAUAUCUGGAGGAACACCGGUGGCGAAGGCGGCCCUCUGGAUCGUUGCUAACGCUGAGACGCGAAAGCGUGGGGAGCAAACAGG